rnacentral:rRNA from 1 species
AUUGAACGCUGGCGGCAGGCCUAACAAAUGCAAGUCGAACGAGUGGCGGACGUGUGGGUAAUGUCUGGGACCCUUCCUGAGGGAGGGGGAUAACUACUGGACACGGUAGCUAAUAACGAAUACCAUAAGAUGUGCCCAGAUGGGGUUAGCUAGGUGGUGGGGUAACGGUGCACCAAGGCGACGAUCCCUAGCUGGGCUGAGAGGAUGACAAGCCACACUGGAACUGAUACACGGCCCAGACUCCUACGUGUGGCAGCAGUGGGGAAUAUUGCACAAUGGGCGCAAGCCUGAUGCCGCCAUGCCGCGUGUAUGAAGAAGGCCUUCGGGUUGUAAAGUACUUUCGUCGGGGAGGCGUUACCCGCAGAAGAAGCACCGGCUAACUCCGUGCCAGCAGCCGCGGUAAUAC